rnacentral:tRNA from 1 species
GCCUGGAUGGCUCAGUCAGUUGAGCAUCCGACUUAUGCUCAGAUCAUGAUUUUGAGGCUCGUGGGUUCAAGCCCCAUGUUGGGCU